AUUGAACGCUGGCGGCAUGCCUUACACAUGCAAGUCGAACGGCAGCACGGGAGCAAUCCUGGUGGCGAGUGGCGAACGGGUGAGUAAAGUAUCGGAACGUGCCCAGUCGUGGGGGAUAACGUAGCGAAAGUUACGCUAAUACCGCAUACGAUCUAUGGAUGAAAGCGGGGGAUCGCAAGACCUCGCGCGAUUGGAGCGGCCGAUAUCAGAUUAGGUAGGUGGUGGGGUAAAGGCUCACCAAGCCGACGAUCUGUAGCUGGGCUGAGAGGACGACCAGCCACACUGGGACUGGGACACGGCCCAGACUCCUACGGGAGGCAGCAGUGGGGAAUUUUGGACAAUGGGCGAAAGCCUGAUCCAGCCAUGCCGCGUGCAGGAUGAAGGCCUUCGGGUUGUAAACUGCUUUUGUACGGAACGAAAAGGUUUGGCCUAAUAAGCUGAGCUCAUGACGGUACCGUAAGAAUAAGCACCGGCUAACUACGUGCCAGCCGCCGCCGUAA
rnacentral:rRNA from 1 species